rnacentral:ncRNA from 1 species
GAUGGCACGAUGAAAGAGCGAAGUAGCAAUUUUGUCCCUGUUUUCAGAAAGCCGGGGGUUGAUGCGACCCGGUACAAACACAAUUGCGAAUUACACUCUGGAGGAUCUUAGGUAAUGCUAAGCGGAUUGGCAAUCGAUAUCAUUGCCGAGAGUGGUAUUAACGGUGACUGCAGCGCCGUUAAUGCAAUUUGGGUGGUAACACGGUUAAUAAUCGUCCCUAUA